AAAGAAACAGCGAGUACAGGGUGUCGAAUCGAUUGGAAAUCGUUCCAGUGUUGUAUUCGAACGAAUAAAAAAAAAUUUUAUUUGAAAAACUUUCGAUCGACUCGUUCCAACAAUCUAUUGAAAGAAUUCAUCAUGUAUAUUUGUAAAUAGUGGGAAAAAAUUUUAUUGCAAUUUUUUAUUUGUUUGAUUUGGACGAUCUUAAAAUUGGUCAUUUGGUUCUUUGUGAUGAUGAUGGAUUAAUCGUAAAAGCUUUUAAGGGGUUCGUUCUAAAAAUCUUCUGAAGGAUUUACGAUAUAUACAAGAGUAAAAACAAUUUUUUAUUAUUAUUUUAAUUUUUAAAAUUUUUGUUUUUCAUGGCGUGAUGGAUUGAUCGUAGAAGCUUUCGAUGUUUCUAAAAAUAAAAAAAAAAANNNNUUCAAUUUUUUAUGAUGUAAAUCGUAGAAAAGAAUUUUAACAAUU